rnacentral:snoRNA from 1 species
UUGCAGGUGGAAAUAUGUCUGCUCCUCAUUCCUUUGGGAGCAGGAAUACAUGACAUGCUACAUUAAAAAGGGGUUCAGGGCUGCCAACUUUACAGUAGAGCAGUAAUAUAUUUCUCCUACAUAA